AGCAGCCCCGUCAAAUUCGGUCCCUGCCUCCUCCAUGGCGGACACCGGCCAAACGGCUGCCACAGCGACUCCUGUGGUCCCUGAGCCCCCGUGUCCCCUUCCCAUGGGACCCCAGGGAUAAAAUCACACCACGGACAUCG
ensembl:snoRNA